rnacentral:rRNA from 1 species
UACGAAGGGGGCUAGCGUUGCUCGGAAUCACUGGGCGUAAAGCGCACGUAGGCGGCUUUCUAAGUCAGGGGUGAAAUCCUGGAGCUCAACUCCAGAACUGCCUUUGAUACUGGAGAGCUUGAGUCCGGAAGAGGUGAGUGGAACUCCGAGUGUAGAGGUGAAAUUCGUAGAUAUUCGGAAGAACACCAGUGGCGAAGGCGGGCUCCACUGGUCCGGUACUGACGCUGAGGUGCGAAAGCGUGGGGAGCAAACAGGG